UUCUCAGUUGUGAGAAGGGGUACAAGGAAAUCAAGUAGUGGUGAAAACCCUGUAGCCAUCAAGACGCUGAAAAGGUGUGGACAAACGAAUCUACCAGGACUCCCCCGUAACCGUGGCAGCGAGAAACGUGUGGCGUCGAUGGCAUUCCCUACAUGGAAACAGGUGUCGAUUUCAGAUGCAUUACUGACAAAUGAAAUCUUGGUUAUGAGGAAAAUAGUGGAACAUGUUUCACCGCACCCCAAUGUGAUCAACCUCCACGACGUGUAUGAGGACCCAAGCGGGGUUCACCUUGUGCUUGAGCUUUGUUCCGGGGGAGAGCUGUUUGAUCGGAUCGUGGCACAGGCGAGGUACUCAGAGGCUGGCGCUGCAGCUGUGGUUAAGCAGCUUGCAGAAGGGCUAAAGGCGCUACACCAGGCCAAUAUUAUCCAUAGAGACUUGAAGCCUGAGAAUUGUCUAUUCUUGGACAAAAGUGAGGAUGCUACUUUGAAGAUCAUGGACUUUGGGCUGAGUUCUGUGGAGGAAUUCACAGAUCCAGUUGUGGGGUUGUUCGGUUCCAUAGACUAUGUGUCGCCAGAAGUUCUUUCUCAGGGCAAAAUCUCAUCUGCAAGUGAUAUGUGGUCUUUGGGAGUGAUCUUGUAUAUUCUCCUCUCUGGGUAUGUGACCAAUAUAUCUCAAUCUUAUAACCUUUCUAAUUGCAUAUACUUGAUAAGGAAAUUACAAGAAAAUUUGGAAUCUUCAAUUGCCAAUAGUAUGAUUGUUCUCAUGACGCAUCUUUUAACAUGUCAUCUAAUUUUAAGCCCAAGUGCUAAUCUAAAUUACCUAAUUUUGAUUUCUACCAUUUUUAUUACAGGUAUCCACCUUUCAUCGCACAGUCAAAUCGG
rnacentral:lncRNA from 1 species